rnacentral:rRNA from 1 species
UGAGGAAUAUUGGGCAAUGGGCGCAAGCCUGACCCAGCCAUGCCGCGUGAAGGAUGAAUGCCCUAUGGGUUGUAAACUUCUUUUUUACGGGAAGAAACUCUCGGACGUGUCCGGGAUUGACGGUACCGUAUGAAUAAGCAUCGGCUAACUCCGUGCCAGCAGCCGCGGUAAUACGGAGGAUGCAAGCGUUAUCCGGAUUUAUUGGGUUUAAAGGGUGCGUAGGCGGAAUAAUAAGUCAGUGGUGAAAGCCUGUAGCUUAACUAUAGAAUUGCCAUUGAUACUGUCAUUCUUGAGUACAGUUGAGGUAGGCGGAAUGUGUAAUGUAGCGGUGAAAUGCUUAGAUAUUACACAGAACACCGAUUGCGAAGGCAGCUUACUAAGCUGGUACUGACGCUGAGGCACGAAGCGUGGGGAGCAAACAGGAUUAGAUACCCUGGUAGUCCACGCUAGUAAACGAUGAUCACUCGUUGUUGG